UACAAUGCUUGGCAUUCAAUUACACACACCACGAUAAUACAUAUAUCCGAUAUAUAUACGACUCGCUCCCGUUUCUUUUCGCCUAUGUGCAUCAGUGUUGUCAAGCUACUCAUACACUCAACAAUUUAUAUACUCACGACUUUUGCAGUUUCUCUUUUUCACACGAAUUCUGUAUUUUUGGUUUGCGUGUGGAAUAUUCCACUACGGAUUUCGUCGUUUUCCUACUACAUUUUUCAUUCGUACCAUGUACAUGGGUUAAAUAAAUGUUGGGGGAAUUUUUUUUUAUAUUUGGUACGAAUUAAGGUUAUUUACUGUAGAGCUGAUGUUCGUUUGACAAUUGUGUGGUGAAAUCCAAUAGGGAACUUUGAAGUGUGUAGAAGAAGAGCGAAAAAAAGUUUAGUAGGUUUGCUGUUUUACUAACACGAUGUUUUUCGAUUAAGAGUGUAUAGUUAAUUCAAUUACUAUGUUUUAGCUAUAUUUUGCUAAUUAAAUGUGUAUACCAGCAACCUAACGUAUCCAUAAAACUCGUUACUAUGUAGAGAUAAGAAAUAAAAAGAAAAGGAUUGUUCCUCAUAGGGAGGCUAUAAUUUUUGAAACCAUGCAGGCCAACAUCCUAAAUUAUGUACUCCAAAUUUCUAACCACAGUUAGCCUCCGGCAUGAACUCCCAACUCCUCUAAGUAUAUUCCCGACAUGAAAUAAAAGCGGCUUUAAGCACAAUCACCACUAAACACUGGCAGUCACAUUUAACAGCCAGCACUCCAUUACUUCCCAUACAACCACAAUUGGCACAAAAGUACAAUAGCGCAAAAAGAAAACCGUCAAAUCGUUAACACACAUCAUCUCGGAAAAAGUCAAAGAACUGUUGUUGGCAACGUACAAGGCAAUCGGUUGGCCGUUCGUAAAUUACCCUAGCAGCGUAAUGAGUGUGUGUACAUUUAAGACAAGCGAAACGCAUAUGAAGAAGCAAAAAACUUUACAGAAAACCUCCUAAUAUCACCGACGCAUCACCUACACAGCGAAACAUCUCUGCUUCUAGUUAAGUAGCGCCGAACGGUAAAUAGUAGCUUAACAUUUAUCCGCGUCCAACGUAUGAAACAGGUUCCGAGAUCAGGAAUAUUCAGUAUGGUUGUUGGAACCAAACAACUAUUUGCGAGCAGUAAUGUAUGAAUCCUGUACAAAACUCCAUGAAAUAACACAUAUUAUAUCCUCUCAAAGGUUAGAUUACAAUAUGUGCUUUCAGGUGAGAAUACCCUCUAGAUAUGAAUGGCGGAGAGGUUUUGAAGGUGAGGAGGAUACCAUUUUAAUCUGAGCCGAUUGGUCUAAAAUGGACUGCUGAAUGCAGGUGGGGGUAUACUCCGACUCUUAUAAUCGGAAGUACUAGGUCAUGAAAAGGCCUUUAGAGCGGUAGUGUAUCAUUGCAACAAGGUCUUAAGCUCCCUCUUGGGACAACUCGACAUAUCAAAAAUCUGAAUUGGCGGCCCGUUUUGGCAAAGUCUGGAUGAACCUCAAGCGGAGAUAAUACCAUGUCCAUUAUGAACGAUAAAGAAAAAGCAAAUUGAACAAAUAGCACAAAAACAAAUGGAAAUCUAUCUACAAAUGUAAGAUAGCGAAACCGAUCUGAUACAGGUCUGGCAUGAUCAUAACUAGGGAUCUAUUGAAAAGGUUAAGCUAAAGUAUAUAUGGAAUUAUAGACUAUAUCGGAGAGUAUGUAUAACAAACGGCCUCCCUCAUAAUAGUCGUGAAGUUUGGUAAUUAGAGGGGAAUACGGAAACAGUAAUUCGCUUUCUCUAUGAAUGUCUAGCUACAUAUACAUAUCUCAAAUUCAAUAUAAAACACUUGGAAACGGUUCUACCAGCUCUAAUUGAGAUCGUCAGCACUUUUAUCUACUUGCAUACAUACAUAUGUAUGUAUCUAUGUCCCUGCGGGGUAGGAGUUCAAGAGUUUUCCCGCAGUAAGAAAUGCCUAUCAUAAGAGGCGUCUAAAACCCAAAAAUUCGCGCGACAGUCGGUUCUUUAUAACGGAACGACCCGAAAAUUUAUCCGGCAAAGAACUUUCACUACCGCAGCAAUCUCCAAACACUCUUUUGGAGAAUAUUUUUGAUGCUACAGCAACGCAACAACUUAAAGGUAUGUACAUACAUAUGUAUGCACCUACCAAACCUACCUAGCUGAGCAUGUUCUACGGAAAGCUUGCGAUAAAAUUCAAUAAAAAUUUUAAAAUUAAAUUUAUGAAAAAACCUCUAAACAAACCAGCAAAAUUGUGAAGAAUGAAAUAAGCUGGUAUGAGGAUUUUAUAAACUAUGAGUUCCACCCCACAUCAUACUCAAAAA